rnacentral:misc_RNA from 1 species
GAUGAAGAACGUAGCGAAAUGAGAUACGUAGUGUGAAUUGCAGAAUUCAGUGAAUCAUCGAAUCUUUGAACGCACAUUGCACCUCUCGGUAUUCCGGGAGGUAUGCCUGUUCGAGCGUCAUUUGUACCCUCAAGCUCUGCUUGGUGUUGGGUGUUUGUUCCGCCUCUGUGUGUGAACUCGCCUCAAAACAAUUGGCAGCCGGCGUACUUGUUUCGGAGCGCAGCACAUUUUGCGAUCCAGAUCAACGUACAGCGGCAUCCAAGAAGCCUUAUUUAACGCUCUUGACCUCGGAUCAGGUAGGGAUACCCGCUGAACUUAAGCAUAUCAAUAAGCGGAGGA